CAAGGCUGGUGAUGCUAAGAAGAAAUGAGUCUUGUGCAAACAAAAAUCUCAUUUUGGGAUUCUUUGGGUGACCUUCGUAUUUUUCUUUUGGCAUUGUGUGAGCCAUAACUUACUGUUGAUUUUGUCUGACUUGAGGCAAUUCAGUUUUGUUUUCCGUUAGGAAUGUCUUGUGGAAAGGUUAAAGAGUACUUGAGAGUUGUCAUUAGUUAGUGUUACUUGUUACUGUUAUUCUAGUAGAGUUCUUAUCUGCAGUGGAAGUUUGUUUUUAUCAACUCUUUAAGUGUUAAAAGAUAUUUCAGUCCCUAAUUUUCAGAAGGUUGUUUCUCCGGUAGGUGU
rnacentral:lncRNA from 1 species